rnacentral:rRNA from 1 species
UACGGAGGGGACUAGCGUUGUUCGGAAUUACUGGGCGUAAAGCGCACGUAGGCGGCUUUGUAAGUUAGAGGUGAAAGCCCGGGGCUCAACUCCGGAAUUGCCUUUAAGACUGCAUCGCUAGAAUUGUGGAGAGGUAAGUGGAAUUCCGAGUGUAGAGGUGAAAUUCGUAGAUAUUCGGAAGAACACCAGUGGCGAAGGCGACUUACUGGACACAUAUUGACGCUGAGGUGCGAAAGCGUGGGGAGCAAACAGG